UGCACAUAAAUAUUUUCCUGUCAAACUGAAUGUGGAUCAUGCAUUAAUUCGACUAUUUUUUAAUGUGAGACGGUGACUCAGAUUUUGGCAACAUAAGCAUUUGUUUGAUGAUAUAAUUAAGUUUGUAGAGAACAUUACCAUAUGCAUUGCCGAUCUUUGCAGUGCUUCGAAACCCUAAAGUGACUCCAACACAAGCUAACAUGAGAAGGUAGUUCACUUCCGGAAUAUAAACUUGUCCGGCAUACUUGGUUGAUGUGUGCACGAUUUUCACACGAGGGAAACACCCUAAUGAUAGUGAUUGUUGGAUUAUAGAGAAAGUCCCUGAAAUCAUAGCUUGACUAGCUAUGAUCGCUGCCAUUACAGCCACUACAAACAUAGGCCAAUACAAAGGCUCUGCAUGCAUUCAGCACAAUUAGUACACAAUUAAAAAAUUAUGCAACCACCUAAGUUAGUUAUUAUAUAUGGUUGUUAAUGUUGAGGUAUACAUAUUUGAUACUUAGCUCGUAAAAGGUUAAACUGGUAAUUUUAUAGGGUUUUGGUUGACAAUGAGUGUUUUAUUAAUUAGUAAAGAUAUAUACUUACUUGGUAUCGACUUGAAGAAGGUAUCUGCAACAAGAAGAUGGUGCUUGCGAAGAAAAGAGGCUUGUCCAGAGUAUGCCAAUAUGAGAGCUGGAUAAGUAACUGUGCACAUACUUAUUUGAAUGGAUCGUACUGUGAAGUGUCCCACGUCAGCAAAUAAAGCUUCAGUUCCUGCAAUUGAAGAUUGAGACAUUAAAUAGUUCUGAUUAUAAAAUUUGUAUGGUAAAGAUACGUUAUGUAUUAUCUAUUUUUGAAAGAAAUUAACAUUUAACUACUAAAUAGUUCAGGGGUGUAGAUAGGAAUUCUAUAGAAUUUUAAAAGAAUUAUAAAUUCAUGGAGUUUUAGUGGGCUUAUGCAGAUAACAUGUGAAUUCUCUUAAAAUCUGAAAAUUCUUUAAAAUCAAAUCAUGAUACUUCUAUAAAAUUCUUUCAAAAUCUUGAUUACACCAGGAUUUAAUCUAUAUGAAGUAUGAACUUGUAGAACGUCUUUAAAAAUGCUAAUUGAAUAACGUUGAACUUUUAUAAAUUCAUUUAAAAUCUUGAAUGAAUACCAUUGAAUUUUUAAACUCUUUCCAAAUCCUUUAUAUUGUCUUAUUUAGAAAUUAAAUUUUUAUGUUACUUUGCAUGAAAUUAAUUGUAAACCUGUUAUGGCUAAGACAAUGCCACCAAGAGAAAUCCAAGCGUCUUUUUUGUUCCUCCUGAAGUAAUCUAUUAUGUAUUGUGGAUUUAGAGCCUUGACCACCGUCGGAUCAAACUUGAUGAAGUUGUAGACGCCAAUUCCACCAAUCAUGGUAAACCAAAUGCAAAUAAUUGGUGCAAAACUGUAGCCUACUUUAUCAGUUCCAAAUCUUUGAACCAUGAAUAGGGCAAUCAAGAUGACUACUGAUAUCAAAACAACCCGACCUGUGCACACAGAUUAAAUUCAAACUAUUUAACCAAAAACAUUUAAAUUUAAAUUACUCAAAUUAUCUUUUCACUAUCCGUUUUAUAGAAUGAGGAUCAUCUCCGGAUCGUCUUUGUGAGGAUCCAAGGAUCCUUUAAUUUUGUCAGUUCAUCAUAUAUCGUGAGCCAAUUUUCGUUAAGUACGGUUUGUGUUCAAUUUUAAAUAAUAAAAUUUAAAAUGAUUUCUAGCCAUGCAAUAUACAAUAAACAAAUACGAUUAAAGGAUCUAAGAAUCCGAAGAGGAUCCUCAUUCCGUUUUAUAUACCACACACAAAUAAUAUUUGGAUCAAUACCUUGUGUCAUUGCAGAUGUGGCUUCUUUGAUUCCUCCAACAGCCGAUAGAACUGCCAUCACAUUGGAACAAAAACAAUUUUAAUAUUCAAGUCAAAAGAUAUUAAGCACAUAAUCAUGUGAGAGUAGGAGACGCAACUUUGAUUUUGUCUUAUAUUGCAAAAUUACUCAACUUUUUCGACUUCAUUUUUGGGAAAUUUUCUAGGUUCUUCUUUUUAUUUUAACUUAUGCUUGUGAAUAAGAUAACAUGGACUCCAUACGGAGAGGAACCACUUUUAUUUUAGAGUUUGGUUCUGCCGGUUUUGCCCUAAAAUUUAUUUUUAUUUAUUAUUUCAUGAUUUUUUCCUUUUUUUAUUUGAGUUAUAACUCAAGUAAUAAUACUCUAUGUAGAUUCCUUAUUAAUACAACUAUAGACAAAUAAAUUAGAUGUGUAGCAAGAGUUUUGUACAAGCGCCCAUUUACUACCUUUUGCAAAAGACCCUAAAAUCUGAGAGUCGACCAUGUACUUGUCCCGUUAGUAAGUUACACUAAUGAGCAUGCAAGUUGAGAGAUUCUAGUUAAACUUUAGAGACAGUUUCAGAAUCGAUAUUGUUUAUGACUUAAUCAUUUGUUUAAUAAGUUUUAUAUUAAAAGUCUCAAUAUCUCAUUCCCUUUAGUGUAGAUUAUAUCGUUUGUUUUUUAAAAAGUUUCAAUAUAAUAAGUAGUGAAACUAUUCGAUAUAGAAAGAAUUUAACUUCAUUAGAUUUUCGAACCGAGACAUAGUUAAAAAAAUUCUAUAUAAUCAGAAAUAUAUUCACCUUUCAUCACGCCACUAUGUCAAAUGAGGAGAUAUAUAGAUAGGUACUUUUUUUUCUUCUUAAUUAAAGAUUUGACAAACCUGAGAUGCAAGGAGUGAGGACACCAUCACCAAUGACCAUGGAAGUACCAAGCAUGGUGGCGAAUAGUAGAAAGAUUUUGGCAAAUGGGCUGUUCUCCAAUGAUGACUUAAGCCUAGAUGCCCUCUUUACACUUUUGGUAGGCAACUCAAGCUGAAAAUUUGAAACAUCACGAUCCUCUGCUUGUUGACUCGGAGUCAAACCAACCUUGGCAUAUCGACACAGCAAAGAGUAUAGUGCGAACGUCCCUCCUGCAAAAAAAAAAAAAAAAAAAACAUUAUGUGUUUUAAAAAUAUACUAUAAUUUUUUUUUUCUAAUAAAAAAGACUAUGAUUGAAUUGGCAAUUUAGAAAAACCUAUCAUUAUGCGUAUUAAAAAUUAAAAUUUUUGUUAGACUCCACUUGACAAGUUCCUCCCAGGUUCGUACCUCAAACUUGUAUUAAAUUCAAACUUGGUAUCUUUUUUUUCUUUUGGUCUUUUUACGUGUCAGAAAAUGACACAGCGAAACAUCAAAGGUUGGGGCUUUUGGUCGCAUUAAAAUGACAUAAUUAGGACUUUUGAAGUGGAAGAAAAACUGCAAUUAACAAUAGAUUAAUGGGGACUCAAUUAUAUAUAAGGGAAUUCUUCUUUCUUUUUGACAGUUUAAUUAUAAUAAGCAAUCAAAAAUUUCAAACUAACAACGUAUGAGUCUAAAGUAUAUGCUGAUGGAGAAAUUUUGUAAUUUGUCCAGAACACGUGGUGGUGCACCACAUGUCAUUAUAUAAGUGGAGAUAAAUUUUAUUUUUUAAGUGUCCAUUUACUUGUAUAAUGACAUGUGGUGUACCAUUCUGUGUUCCGAUAACAUUGAAAAAUCUCUCAAGCUGAUGAGACACCGAAAGCUAAAUGAUGCUUUUUAUAUUUAUUUAUUUUCUAUGAAAAGUUGAGAACAUAAUUAAAUAUGAAGGAUUUAAUAAGUGAUAAUAUUUUGUUUGUAAUUAUACAGAUCUAGGAGAUGUAUGGAAUCUUACCAUCGCCGUUAUCGUUGGCCCGUAAGACGAUUAAAACGUACUUAAUCAGAGGGAUUAAGGUGAGUGUGUAAAAGAUCAAAGAAAGAACACCCAAAAUGUCAUCGCUAUGGUUGAUGCCUUUGGUGAAGGUGCUCGCAUACACAUAGAGAGGUGAUGUACCAAUGUCCCCAUAAACUAUGCCAAUGCUCUGAAAUGCCAAGUGCAUUAUCACCGACCAGUCUGCACCCUAAAAAAAAUUCCAAAAGAAAAUAAAUUUAGAAUAAGUUCAACAACAACAACAAUCAAACUUUAAUUAUCUCAUUAAGUGGAUUGGCUCUAUGAAUUCUAUAACGUCACUGCGCUCGAUUUUACGCCAAGUCUUCCAUCAGUUUCAAGUACUUCUUAUCUUUUUUUAAAGUCUCUUUCAAAAUCUUUCUAUCCCUUCAACUAUCGUUUUUGCCAUAAACUUUCGUCUCAUAGUCGCAUCUUCUAGUCGGAACAUUUAUAGGUCUUCAGUGCACAUGUCCAAACCACUUUAACCAAUUUUCUCUCAUUUUAUUUUCAAUUGCGAUCACUCUUACUUUACCUCAAAUAUCCUCGUUCUUAAUCUUAUCUUUUCUUGUGUGCACACACCUUCAACAAGCAUUUUCAUCUCUGCUACACUCAUUUUUUGCACGUGUUGAUUUUUGAUCUUCCAACAAUCUGUGCCAUAAAGCAUUGUUGGACUUAUUGUUGUCCUAUAAAAUUUUUCCUUGAACUUUAGUGGCAUAUGACAUCGCACAACACACUCAAAGCACUCUUCCACUUUAUCAUCCUGCUUGUAUUCUAUAAUUGAGGUUUCUAUCCAAUUCUGAAUAAAAUCAUGUUUUCUUUUUAUCUUAGAAAAUUGUUCCGUUGUAAAAAAAAAAGCUAUUUUGUCUUCUUUCUUAACUAUUCAACAACUACUGUAAAAAAAAAAAAAACUAUUCAGCAACUGUUGGUCUUUUUUUCUUUUUUUUUUGUUGAAAACAACUUGAGAAUUAAAUUCGAAACCUCUUCAAAUGAAAUGGAGGAGAUUAGAUGCCGCUGUAUCAAAUGACUUAAAAAAUAUAUUUAAUACACCAAAUAUGUAUAUAUCAAUAAAAUCUAAUUGAAAUAGUACUAUACUAUUAAAGAACAUAAGAAAAAUGGAGAUCGAUGGACCUUGGAGGCAUGGCCAUGGGGAACUGUGAAACGGCGUGACUCGAGGUCCAAGGAGUCGUUUCUUCGCAACUUUUGCCAGGAAAGUUUCUUCCCUUUGAGUUGAUCCUUAUGAUGCUCAUGAUGAUCAGAAACUUCCUGAUGAUCUUGGCUUCCCUCAUCUGUAGGGUUUUCCACUACUACCUCUUCAUCAGACAUUUCUAUUAAACCUAGGCAGCCACUUCUCACACACUCAAAUUAAUUUCUAGAGAGAGAGAGAGAGAGAGAGAGAGAGAGAGAGAGAACUGUAGGUAGGUCUUCCUCUUUGAGAGCAAAAGCAAGCUAGCUAGCUAGGUGUUUGGGACAGAGUUAGAGAUCUGGGGGUGCCAAGUGUGGGGAGGUGUUCUUCUAUAUGUGAGGAUGGAUUGUGAUAUUUAAAGGCAAAUUAAUUGAGGAAGAGGCCACAACUCAUUUACCAUAUGCUCAUAUACAUUGACCGUCUAUUUAUACGCAUGGUUUGCACACAUAUACGUACAAAGUUGAAUAAAAUGUAGGGAAACAUAUCUCAUGGCACUAGCAAAACAAAUCUCAUGGCAUUAAGACAAGAGCUUGACCUUGUUUGUGAGAAUAAUAUGAAGCUGACCUAAACGAGCUUCGUCCGAGGUUGAAGAUGUUGAUGGGCUCCCAAUUUGAAAUCUUUUUAAUUGCUACAUAUUUAUCCCUUUAACCCUUGAUCUGUCAAUUCUGACAGUAUCACACACACGCACACAUAUAUGUGUGCGUGUGCGCCCUUAUCUAUUUUAUAUAUUAUUCACGAAUCACAAAGUACUUGAAAUACGAGUGACACACCAUGUGUCACUAUACAGAUAAUGUGAUAUUUGUAUUAAAUUUUUCUUCACAUGUAUAAUGACCCAUAAAAUUUUUCCAGUCAUAAUAAAAAAAUUUCUCCACAUUUUCAUGACAUUUCCAUUUUUCUAAGGUGACGGCACUAUCAUUCAUACUCCCUAUUAUAUAAAAUUAGGUUACCUUUUUCUUUUGGACUUGGAAUAUUAAUGCACAUUACCCAAUUAUAAUAUUUUUGUUUUAAAUAAGUAUUUAAAUGCCCAAUAAUUCAACUUCUUCAUAGGUCAAGUUUUAUUACCAGCUGUGUAUCUACCAUAUUUUAUAUUUUAUAACUCAUGUUCCUUUUAAUAUAAUUUCCCUUUCUUGUAUUAUAUAUGAAACUAAAGAAAUUUACAAUGAUACAAGGAUAUUCUCAAUAAAAAUGGCAAUAAUGAAAUUUACAAGAAAGACAAUUUGGACAUGAUCUCUAUAAAAAUGGCAAUAAUGAAAUUUACAAUUGUUGAUGCACAAAACCGGAAGUCUUGGAACAACGUAAAUCCGACCGUGAAUCUGCAUGAAAUGUAAAUGACACAAGAGUUAUCGUGGUUCACCCCAAGGUUUGGGCUACGUCCACACUGAUUGUAUUAUAUUUCUCUGAGAAGUGAGGGAGAGAGAGCUUAGGGGAUGUGAGGAGCUUUGAGAGGGGGUGAGAGGCUUCAGAAAUGGCCUCUGAUGGUGAGAAUGAGCCUCCCCUAGAAUGAGGGUAGGAGUCCCCUUUUAUAGAAUAAGGGGCUCCUCCUCUUUUACAAAGUAUGGGCUUUAGUGUGAGGCCCAAAUACAAGGCCCAAGGCCCAAAUAUACGAGGCCCUAAAUAUGGUAUAAACAACAAUGAUACAAGGAUAUUCUGAAAAGCUAUAUGUAAUACGUAUAAGGCAGAUUUGAGGCAAUAAGGUCCAUAACUACAGUCAAAGACUCAAAAGUCAAUCCCCCGUGCGCUUAUGUUAGAGGUGACACAAAAUGAUAAUCCUUUAUUUUAUGUGUAACAGGUUGUUUCUAUAUACAUGACGAUGUGAUAUUAUUAUAUUGUACAAACGUUAUACUUAGGAUUGUUUAUUCUUUCUAUAGAUAAGUUCAUUUAAUUUGAAGAUUGUUUAGUUAUCCUUAACACAUGUCAAACAAAUCCAUUGUUAUGGUAACAAGUAAUAUCAUUACGAUUAACUGGUUGACGUGUGUGACGAUUUGCUAUUUUUCAUCUUAUUCUUUAUUCUUUAUUUAUAAUUUUUAUUUAGUUUAGUUUGGAUUUUUUUUAAAUUAAAUUAUUUUAUGUUAGAAUCUUAAUUAGAAAGAAGUAUUUUGGGGAUAUUGAAAACUUCACCAUUUGGGUGUAUAUAUGUAUGUAUGUAUGUAUGUAUGUAUGUAUAGCUAAUUAAGCUUAAUUUUCAGCAAAUAAGAAACUGUAUUAAUACUGAUCUAUCACAGUUAAUCUGUUGCUUUGCUUAGUUAUAAUCGGAUAACUUAGAGCAAAAGUCACAGAGAGUUUUGUUGUGGAAGAUGUCCACGUGAUCGUCGUGUGACAUGAGUAGGAUUUAGGCUUUAAGCUUUUCGGAAGUAUCAGAGGAAGGCAUCAACUGUUUGACUUAGGGCAUGCAUGGUAUGGCGCAACCAAAGCUUUUGGUCCUUGGCAUUGUCAAGAUUCCACUGCAUGCUGGUAGCUGCUUUAGAGGGGGCGUUGAAGGGAUGCGAAAGGUGCAGUUGCACAUGCCCCAAUUUUGAAGGGAUCCUCAAAAUUUUUGUCACUAGUAUUUAUAUGUAAUAAUAUUCUAUAUUUAAAAUUGCUUUUGUUAUGGGAUAAUGUUCUAUAUUCAAAAAUUGAUUUUAUUAGGACAUUAAAAUCUCAUCUUGGACUCCUUUUAAGCGUAAUUUUUUUUAUUUUCUAAAUAUAAAAAUUUAGAGCACAAUAAGAUAUUUUGAGUGCUAAUAAUACACCAUAAAAGACGGUAUUUUUUUUUCAAUAUUAUUAUAUAAUAAUGUCACAUAUUCAAGUGAAACUUUAAAGUUAGAGUUUUUGAAGUUUGUUUUCUUGUUUGGUUGUUUAAGAGUGAAGUGCUUUUGAUUAUUUAGUGAACGUUAUGUUUGUAGCUCUUUUACUUAUUAUUAAUAACAUUUUUAAACUUGCAAUUAGUGAGUGCUAAACUUUGUUUUGAUUUAAGUAAUUGUUUUCUAGCGUCAAUACAUUGUCAUACAUUUUUUAAGACUAUCUUAAGGAGGGGCGCUUUUAUAAAUUUCGCACAGGGCCCCUAAAAUCUUAGAGACGGCCCUGCAGCUUAGGGGCCAAUCAGCAGGCGUUACGUACCAAAUUUGGUUAUUUUUUAUGGAGUAAUGUUAAGGAGAUUAAAUUUGUAGACAAAUUUUUGAAAACUAAAAGACAUGGAAGUUGAUGAUUGAUUUAUUACUCACACAUUGAUAAACGUGCUUAUUCUUAUUGGUGACACAUCAUUUAGUUUGCAAAUUUAGUCUUCAAAUUUGGUCUCCCCUAGCAUUAUUCUUUUUUAUGUUGUGUGGCAAUUGCCACUGCUAAGUAACCCCCUAUGGCUUCUAUGCCAACUUCCAAAUUUAGAUUGAUGUUGAUUGUAUUACAAUAUUCACCAAGAAUUUGAGAGAGAGAGAGUUCAUAGGAUCUUCCAAGAUAUAGGUGGAGUUAACGGUGUCAUUAGAGAAAUUAUUGCAGUUAACUUUCCAAAAUAUAGGUGGAGUCAAUUAUUUUAUUGAUAGGGAAGAGGUCGGAGACUCGGAUAUUCAAAGUUAGGAUAUCUUUUAAUACUAAAAAGAGAAAUAUAUUACUGAAUUAUUAAGAGUUAGAUAGAAUAAUUUAAUUAGCUAUAAACUGGUGUCUGUCAUCGAACAUAUUAUAUUUUAUUGCGGCCUCACGGUAAUAACCAUAUUUUUGUAGAAUCCCAGACGCCAUGUGCGUGUUGUCUACUCCAUCAUCGCAAUUAUAAGUAAUUAUGUAGUUUUACUGAAAAUAAUGCAGAAUUAACCAGAAGCAAACAGAAAUAAACUACUAACCAUGCUCCCUUCUGAUCACUCUGUCCAUUUGAUUCUGCUAAUUACCUUAUUUUAUUAUUUGUUUGUCUCUUACUUUCGAGGUUCUACAAGGCUAUUUCGAAUUUGGACUUUCUCAGAAAAUUAACCUCCAAUAAUAAUUCUUCUAAUUAAUUAUUUUACUUUGCACCUGUCCAUUAAUUUAUGUUAGGUAUUAGUUUCUAGUUCUUACAAGGCUGUUUCGAAUUUGGAUUUUCUCAGAAACCUUUUAGCCGAAUUGGGUUUGUUUGCCGUUUCACAUGUACCAAAUUCAAGAUAUGGAUAGACUGAGUUUCAAGUACUAAUCAGUUCAUAACUUAAGACAACAUUAAUCAUUUAUUUAGGUUUACCUUACAAUAUUUUACAUAAUCUGAAUGGAUCACUUUUUGGAUUAUGAUUUAAAGCUUAAUCAUACAAAAAAUUAUAAAGUUGGAAGCCAGUUAAUUAUUUAAGUGUCUUAAAUAGAAUAACACACAUUUGUCAAUAAAUAAAUUCAGUAUUACAAUAAUAAUUAAAGAGCUAAACGACUUUCGAUUUGAUUGAAUUUUUACAACGAUUUAUGAUUGAUGACCUAAAAAGUGAACUCUUAUUUUUUUUUUGUCAAAUGAUAGAUUUUGUUAGAUUAGCCACCGACAGAGUUCGAACCCAUGCCGUCAUGCAAGAGCUCAACACCUUUCCACCACUAUAAUAAAGAGCCACUUGCUUAGGUAUUGCCAGCAACGAGAUUCGAACCUAUGCCUUGGCCUAGCGAAUAAAAAGUGAACACUUUAGAUCAUGAGAUUAUUUUGUUGACCAACACCACUGACCCGCACCUCCCCUUCCCCAUUUACCUACUAUUUUGUUAUACCUUUCAUCUUUUUAUGUAGUGUCAUUCUCAAACUUAUUUCUAUGCUCUCGUCUUGAAAUAGAACGUGGGUUUGAAUUGGCUUUGUGGUUGUGGUGGGUCAAAAUCGCCUUCUACUAGUUAGUGUCCACGACGAUUUAUUGCGACGAAUUUAUACCGAAUAUAGUUUUUGUGUUUCUUUGUUCAUUGUGGUUGCUAUAUAGAGAUCAAGUUUGCUUGUUGUGUGCUUAUUCUCUCCAAAUUAAGGAUUUGGUCACUGAGAAGAUGUACUCAAUUGACAUCGAUUUUGUAUUUUUUGUUGUAAUCGUCUUUUUAUCAAUGAAUUACCACUACCAUUCUUUAAAAAAAAAAAAAAAAACUGAUUAGCGCUAAAACGCUCCUAUAUUUGUAUUACAUGUAUAUGGAUAUAUAUUUUGUAAGAUUCAUGAUUUAAUAUUUUUAAUUUUUCCGUCGAAUUAGAUAACAAUGACUGCUAUAGUUUUCUAACACCGUAUGCUCUUAGAGCAACUCCAGUGUAGGAGCCCUUCCCCCAGACUAUUCACUAUUUAAUCCACACAGUGAACAGUAAUUGCCCUUAAUGAACAGUAAUUGCAGUGGUAAUUGCCUUUUGCAUUUCCACCCUUGCACUAAAUAGCCCUGGCAAUUGGCAAUAAAAAUUAUUUUAUUUAUAAAAUAAUACAUAAUAAUUUAAUUUUAAUUUUGGAUAAGAUUUUUAAUCGUUCUCGUUGUGCCACGUGUUAUUAUCCGAAAAGCCAAUAGCAAUAAAAUAUUUGUAUUUUUUUAUUUAUAAAAUAAGUCAAAAUAAUUUUAUUUGUAAUUUCAGAUAAGAUUUUUAAUCGUUCUCGUUGCGCCACGUGUCAUUAUCCGCAAAGACAAUUAUUGGUGAUGGAUUUCCGAUAAGAUUUUUAACCAAUCAUGUCGUGCCACGUGUCAUAAUCUCAUUACAAUCUUUGAGGCUAGAUUUCCACCAGAUUUUUAACGAAUGACAGCAUGCCGCGUGGCAUUAUCUACAGCCUAAUCCUUUCUGAAUUCUCCAUAUAAUCUACCAUCCAUCCUUAGAAAUCUCACACCAAUUUUCUCAAGAUCUCUAUCAUUAUUCAUAGUUUCUGCUUCAUUCUUCACCAAAAUCCCUAUCAUUAUUCAUUCUGCUUCAUUCUUCACCAAAAUCUCUAUCAUUAUUCAUAGUUUCUGCCUCAUUCUUACAAUGUUUUCUUCUUCUUCUUCAAAGAUGAUGUGGGAAAUCGAUCAAGAAGAGGAAGAAUUGUUUAACCAAUCAGAAGGAAUGUUCAAUGCUGGUGAUUGGGCCCAAAAUGAGAUGAAGGAGGAUGACAAACGUAGAUGGAGAGAUGACGAAUCAAGAAUGGCAAGAGCCUCACACUCCCGUCGAGUCAUCCAACCUGUGGCUCAAAUCUGCAGACCCAACCGUGCUGUAAACAUUGAUAGAAACAGGCAACGACGAGGUGAGGAGCUCUUGGACGAUUAUUUUGUCUGUAACAGUGCAUUCCCUAAUACGUACUUCUGACGUCGUUUUAGAAUGGAACGACAUUUGUUCAACAAAAUCAUGGGCGCUGUUUGCAACCAUGAUUCUUACUUUAUGCAAAAACUAGAUGCUUUUGGUGCUAUGGGUCUCAUGCCUGAGCAAAAAAUUAUUGCUGCCUUGAGGAUGCUGGCAUAUAGAGCAGCUGCAGGCCAAGUGGACGAGAUAACGAGGAUGGGAAAAUCAACCAUUCUUGAGUCCCUGAUGAGGUUUUGCUUGGCAAUCGAAUCUAUCUACACCGCAGAGUACUUCCGAAGACCUACUCAUAUGGACUUGGAAAGGCUUCUGAAGAAGGGCGAGAUGCGAGGUUUUCCAGGGAUGAUUGGAAGCAUUGAUUGUAUGCACUGGACUUGGAAAAAUUGUCCAAGUGCAUGGAAAGGCGCUUAUGGGGACAGAAAAUGAUCAAAAAGUAUCAUUUUGGAGGCGGUGGCCUCUUUUGAUACAUGGAUUUGGCAUGCAUUUUUCGGGGUUCUGGGAGCUCAAAAUGAUCUCAAUGUCCUUACCCAUACCUCGGUGUUCAACGAAGUCUUGCAAGGAAAGGCAACAAAAGUCACAUACUGGGUCAACAGACGUAAGUACGACGGGCCCUACUACUUAGCAGACGGCAUUUACCCAAGGUGGGAAUCAUUUGUCAAAACAGUGCCACGUCCACGAAAUGCAAAGAAAAAAUACUUUGCAAGCUGUUAAGAAAGAUGCAGGAAAGAUGUGGAGCGUUGUUUUGGUAUACUCCAAGCUCGCUGGGCUAUUGUUAAGGGUGCUGCCAGAAUGUUUGAUGUAGAGUCGCUUCGAUCCAUCAUGAUGACGUGCAUCAUUCUUCACAACAUGAUUGUGGAAGAUGAGUACGAUUAUGAUGCCAUUGAUGAAUAUGAGCCAGACACUAUGAACAAUUCCAGAACACAAAUAUAUUGUGCUCAUGAUGCCACCGAAGAACCUGUGCAACACGAGCUAUUACAAAGGGAUAGACGUUACAAUGAUAGGGUCAUUCAACGAUAUAAUGCACUUCAAAGGCCAUAUAUGCACAAUGCCCGCCAAAUUGAUUUGAUAGAGCACUAGUGGGAAUUGAGGGGUGCUGAAGAUACUUAAGUUCAUUAGUGUUUUUUUUUAUUUGGUGUGUUAUUUUAUUUUAUGUGGUGUGUUUUUUUAGUUCAUUUAGUGAGUUGAAAUGUAAUUUUGGUAUGUUGAUGUAAUUUUAUUUGGUGUGUUUUUUUGGUGUGUUGAUGUUAUUUUAUUUUGUGUGUUUAAAUGUGUUUUGAAUAAAGUACUAAAUUAAAUAAAUUGGAAACAACAUAAAGUACUAAAUUCAAUAAAUAACCAAAUUAAAUAAAUAUACUCUUAGUUUAAAUAAAGUACUAAAUUCAAUAAAUUGGAAACAACGUAAAGUACUCUAUUCAAUGAAUAAGAAAUUACAACCCGAAUAAGAAAUUACAACUCGAGUUGAUUGGAAAAUUAUGGGUUCGUGAAUGGAUAAUCAUCACCUAACCAAUUUGUCGUGCUAGGAUGAUCUUCUGUUGUCGUGCUAGGAUGAUCUUCUGUUGUCAUGCUAGGACCAUCUCCUCUUACUGUCGCUUCUCUUGCAUGCCUCCUUCGCAUCACGUCAGCUUUCUCCGACUUCCAAAAAUAUUUAGAGUUUGGAGACUUCCCUUCUAAAGGCUCCUUCAUAAUGUUACGACCUUGUUCAGCCAUUCUUUCUUCCCUUCUAUGUUCCCUUUUUUGCCGAAGUAGUUCUCUUUCUCUCUCAUCAGCUUCAAUUUUUUUCUCAAAAGUUGCAGCUUUUGCAUCCGUUCUAGCCUUAUCAGCCUCAAAUUUAGUCAUUUCCCGGGCCAAAGUCAAUUGACUUUGGUGGGCAAGGUCUUCCAUAUACUUUGCAUAAUCAUUCUUGGAAGCAUUACCUUUUCUCUUUGAAGCCUUCUUACCUUGAGGCCUAAUUGGAAAACGGGUUGACCCCGACGCUUGUUCAAUGGGGGGUGUUUCAGGCACUUCUUUUGCAUCAUCUUCAUCAUGAUCAUGUGAGGCAUGAUCGGGUGUAGAGUGUAGAUGGGUGUUGUUCAUGAAAACUUAUGGACCGACAGGCACAACUCUGAAUUUAGGACAAUCUUUGACAAUAUUCCAACAUUCAAACCGGGGGAAUGUUUUGUUUUUGCUUUUGGUUUUGGCACCAUACCAAGCUUGUGCUUGAAGUUCCUACACAAUGCGGGAGAAUAAAUAAUUAUAACGAGAAUAGGUAACAAAUAAAUAAAACAAACAAAUAAUUAUAAUGAAAGUAGGUAACAAAUAAAUAAUACAAACAAAUAAUUAUAAUGAAAGUAGGUAACAAAUAAAUAAUACAAACAAAUAAUUAUAAUGAAAGUAGGUAACAAAUAAAUAAUACAAAAAAAUAUUUAUAAUGAAAGUAGCUAACAAAUAAAUAAUACAAACAAAUAAUUAUAAUGAAAGUAGCUAACAAUUAAACAAUACAAACAAAUAAAUAAUAUAUUGUUACCUGAUCCGCUAAAUUUUCCCCACUUCGAACAUUACCACUAGCUUGUGCCAAGGCGUCUUUCCACGUACUAAACGCUUGGCUAAGUAAUUUCCAACGACUGGACAUCGAUUCUUUAGUUCUUUGCCCACCCAUUUUCUCAAGAUAAUUGGUAUGAAUAAGACUCCACAUUUCUCGCAACUGCAUCUCAUUACCCGUAAGCGAAUCAUGAGUAACUUGAACCCAGCUAGUACACAACGCAACAUUUUCAAGAAGCGUUCAAUUCGUACUUGCUUGAGUAGUCAUUUUGUUGGAAAAAAUUGGAUUCAAACUUUGAGAGAAAGAUAGGAAUGUGGUUGAAAGUAGUUGAGAAAAUAUGAAAUUGUGGUGUAAGGUAGAAGAUAAUGAGAAGGUAUUUAUAGAAAAGUAAAAUCAAUUUUUUUAAUAAUUUUUCAUAAUUUUUUUUUGGAUUUUAAAGAAUUUUUUACAUUUAAAAAAAAAUUAUUCACCUAAUUAAUCUCUGCCGUUGGUUUUUAAAAAAAUUUGAAUUCCAACAGUCCAGAUUGUGCCACAUGGCACAACGGUAGCAUUUCAGAAUUUUUAACUGUUUUUUUUUAAAUUUACAAAGCCUAAUAACGUGGACCUUUGAUCUUAGAUCAAACGGAUGAAAUUAAAUGAUAUUUUAAAUGUUUUUUACCGUUGAAAAUCCAACGGUCCAUAAAAUAAGGCCGUUUCAAUCGAACAGACAUGGGGAAGCCACGUGGCUUCCCCCAACGGUAACAUUUCAAAUCAGGCGCCGCGGGCCCCAGCCCUGUUUUUUUGUCGGAAGACGCGUGCCCACGCGCGCGUGAAACGCACGCGCCUGACGCAGCCCUCGGGCUCUCAGGCUGGCAAUCAACGCCGGGCCUACUCCUCGGGCCUCGCCUGUCACUCGGGCUACCCAACGCUAGACCCUAUCCCCCCAGCAAUUUGGUCCUAUUUAAAUGCCUGGCCCCUGAGCAACCUCCCCCGCUGGAGUUGCUCUUAUUGAAUAUUAGUUUUCAAAAACAGAUGCUUAUGUCAUGCAAGAAUAUUCCAACUCAAAGUCUCAAAGACAAAUAUUUACGCGUGUAUAUGAUCUAGAUCCAAUUGACAUGCUAAUUAAUUAACUAAACCUUUUACUCAAAUUAUGCUACAAAUUAUUGUGGACACACCUUGAUUAGUAAUUACUUAGUGAAUGCAUGAUUAUAGAAAAAUAAUGUAUUAGUUUGGACUAAGCGGCUAGACUUUCGCAUAUAAACGGCGAGUUGUAAGAUAUGACUAAUCACACAUGCUGCUGACAUAUUCCAAUCAACUACACGUCACAUCCGUUGCUAUUGUAUGAGAAAUUUUUGAAUGUGACGGUCACAUAGCAUUUGCAGCUUCAAGGCAUGCAUGCAACUCAAGGCUCACACGAAUGUGUAUCAUAUUUUGUACUCAGUUGUAUUCUAUGAGAUUGUAUUGUAUUUGUUGAGGUCCUAUAUAAUGUAUAUUAGCAUGGAUUGAGAUCCAUUGCAAAUACCUGUGUCCACUGCAAAUACCUGUGUCCGAAGUUUGCAGAUCAGAAAUCUGGACAACUCAAUUUCAAUGCUAAACUCCUUAUUCGUUCAUCCUACUGGCCCACUUUAUGAAAAUCCAAAACUUAAACGGCCUGAAUCUCUUUAUCACACUCUCAAACAGUCCAGAUCUCUUAAUCCGCACUCCGGACACAGAGAUUCGGAAUGAAUCCUCAUUCACAUUAGCAUCUUCAGAUUCUAGCUACGACUAAUAGCAGUGUUGUCCGUUAUUAAUUUGCUCGACCAAACUAGUUGUUGUCAACUUUGUGUUUCAAAAGCACAAAAUGCAUGUCUAUUCGAGAAUAUUCCAACUCCACGACAACUUUCUACAUGUUUUCUGGUUCCCAUUGGAAACUAGUCACUCAAAAGCUACAAAAAAUAUUGUGGCUAUGGAUCAUGUUGCCACCUUACGAAUCAGGUUAGGUAUAUGCAUGAUUUGGGAAAGAAAAAAAAUUACAUUUUGGAUUAUUCAAUUGGAGCAUUUCUCGUAUAAACGGCUGAAAGAUUUUGUAAACAUGAUGCUGAGAACAAGAGUUACCUGUUUUAGGAAGGGGUAUUCGGUAGGGCCACUGUACUAUGGCAACAUAUACAAAGUAUAGGGACUAACGAGCAAGUAGAUGGGAUCAUGGAACAAAACAUAGGAGUUGCAUGAUACAAGAACACUCAGGCGACAAUAUCAUAAACCAAUUAAAUAACGCCACAUGAGAAAUUGAAAACAAAUGGCGUUGUGUUAUUAGUCUAGAAUGUCAGUAUAGGUUUUUGUUUAUAUAUCUCUACUAAUUAUUAAUAAAACACUCAUUGUCAACCAAAAUCCUAUGAAAUUACCAGUUUAACCCUCUAAUUAAAACAGAACAUAAAUAAGAAAUAUGGGGCAUAAAUGUAAUUUCACACAACCAAAUUUUGUUGUUUUUUUUUUCAAAGUCUCACCUACAUGUAAUCCUAACAUUUCUCUAAUUAAAAAAAAUUAAAAAAUUAAAAAAUUAAAAAACUUCUCACUCCCACAUUCUCUAUCACUCUCUUCCUUUCUCAUUCUAUUUCAAAAAAAAUAAUAAAAAAAAAAUUCUCAUACACUUUGUGUGUGCUCAUAUACUAGUAUUUUUUAAGUUUAUUAUUAUUAAGACGAAGUGGAGGUUUCGAAACUGUUAAAAUAAUUUAAGAAAUGAGAGAGUUUCGAAUUCAGAAUAUAUGAGUAAAAACUCAACACCCUAUUUACUAAGAUAUUAGAUUGCAUGCAAAAAUGCCGUGUAGGUAAAUCCGCCUAGGGAAGAGGUGUUUUUAUGUGCAAUCGGAUGCAUCAUAUGGUCCAAAUACCUUUCUCCUAGUUUAGUGCUAUCUUGUAUAUGUAUGUGUAAGUUGUAGCUAUCGGUUAUACCCCUUAUGAUUUAGCUACAAUGGGCGAUGGGGUCAUUCGAAAGUGACUCUUAGAAGCAGCUCAUGAGAGAUGCUUUUCCUUAAAAUCACUAGCCAUCGUGAUUUAUAGAGAAGCACAUAUCCUUCUCCCAGAAGUGAUUAAGGCCCUCUCAGAAUUACUUUCCGAACGAGACCUUAGACUCCGAAGUGUGGAACUUGCCUGUUGACAAAUUCAAAGGCUUUUUCUUUGUAAAACAUCCUUCAUUCUUUGCACAUUAACAUCCCUACGAACGAGUAAAAAGAGAAUUAAAACUCUGUUCAAAGUGUAUUCCGGGAGAAUGAGACCUUUUUCAUUAGCAGCACAUAACCAUGAGUACAUGACCAAGAAUUCCUCAAGUCGCAGAAUAUGCACCACACAAGUGGAAUUUUAGGUGCAUAUAUUAGAGGAAGAACGGAUACAUACAAAAUGGGUCAUUCUUCACAAACUUUCCUUUUCCUGUUUUGCAGGGCUUGCUGAUGCUGCAUAUGGAUGGCGAAUACAACAUGCCAUUCUCUUCCAAAGGCGAUCGUGGUUGCCCUAGGCUUGUCCAUUUUGUUAGAAUAAGAAGAAAAUGUAGUACACAAUGGAGGAUAUGCUGCAAUGACUAGAGUGAGAGAGAGAGAGAAAGAAUGAGAGCAGAGAAUAUAUGACACUGCAAUUCUUUUCACACGCACUGUUUGAUUGCUCACAAAGUGAGAGAGGAACAUCUCUCUACACUUAACAGUUACACUUCCAAACUUUUGGCAGUAUUCAAAAUUACAUCCAAGUAAUCCUAGCCAUCCAUCUUACACCCUAUGAGAUGAAGACACAUGUACACUCACUUACUUAAGAACUAUGAGACUUAGAUAAGAAAACAUACAACCAAUUUAGCUAAUCAUCCUAGCAAUAUAAGCUAGAAAUACAACUACCACAUCAGAUCACAAUUUACACACUAACAGCCCCCUUUAAAUUGUGAACUGAUUUAACUCCAAGAAGUUCCCUCAGAUAACUGAAUUGUUCUCUUGCCAAUGCCUUUGUAAAGAUAUCAGCAAUUUGCUCUUUCGUAGGACAAUGCAACAGCUCAAUUACUCAUUGCUGCAAUGCUUCCUUUAUGAAAUGGUAUCUCCUGUUGAUGUGCUUGGUCUUCUGAUGAAAAAUAGGGUUUUUAGUGAUAGCUAUGGCUGAAGUAUUAUCACAAUUCAUUGGUGUUGCAACUGUUUGCAUUUCACCAAAGUCCUCCAAAACAAAUCUCAGCCAUGUAGCCUGUGCAGUUGCUUCAGAUGCACUAAUGUACUCUGCUUCAGCUGUUGAUAAUGCAACACAUUGUUGCUUGACCGAAGACCAAGAGAAAACUCCACUGCCAAAGGUAAAUGCAUACCCCGAUGUACUUUUCAUAUCAUUUUCUGAACCGCUCCAGUCACUGUCACAAAAUCCCAUUAAGAUUGCUCAUUUACCUUUCUUGUAUUCCAAGCCAAAAUCAAGAGUCCCUUGAACAUAUCUUAGUACUCUCUUUGCUGUCCCAAGGUGCUUGUUGGUUGGACAGUGCAUAAACCGUGAUAGCAGACAUGCAGCAUACAUUAUAUCAGGUCUAGUUACUGUGAGAUACAACAAACUGCCUACAAUUUGUCUAUAUUGAGCUUCAUCCGCAAUCCCACUUCCAUCCUAUUUUCUUAAUUUAUCACUUGGAACCAAUGGAGUACUCACUGACUUACAGUCUUGAAGUCCAAAUUUCUUCAGUAGAGAAGAAGCAUAUUUUCUCUGAUGAAUGAAAAUAUACUCCUCAGUUUGCAUUACUCCCAUACCAAGAAAGUGAUGUAAGAGUCCAAGAUCAGUCAUUUCAUAUUUGAGCAUCAUAUCAGAUUUAAAGUCAUCCAUCAAUUCCUGACAACUUCCAGUGUAUAUUAUGUCAUCAACAUAGAUAGACACUAUAAUCAUUUCUGAACUUUUCCUCCACUUGGUAUACAGAGUUGCUUCGCUAGUGCUUUUCUUAAACCCACAGAGUGUAAGAUAUGAGUCUAUUUCACCAUACCAGGCCCUUGGUGCCUGCUUCAGACCAUACAGUGCUUUAUGUAACCUGUAGACCUUAUCUUCUUCCCCUUGUACAAUAAAUCCAUCCGGCUGAUCAACAUACACUUCUUCUUCUAGUACACCAUUCAAGAAUGCCGAUUUUACAUCCAAUUGAAACAACUUCCAUUUGUUCUUUGCUGCCAGGGCAAUUAAUGUUCUGAUUGUAUCCAACCUUGCCACAGGUGCUAAGGUUUCAUUAUAAUCAAUUCCGGGCUUUUGUGCAUAGCCUUUUGCAACAAGCCUAGCCUUGUUCUUUUGAACUGAUCCAUCCAAAUUCAAUUUAGUUUUGUACACCCAUUUCACACCAAUUACAGGUUUAUCAGAUGAUCUUUUCACUAAUUCCCAAGUCUUAUUUUUCUCAAUCAUGUUGAUUUCAUCUUUCAUAGCUUUCUUCCAUGCUUCAUCCUGUGCAGCUUCAUAAUAGGAUUCUGGUUCAACAAUACACACAUGACAUCUUUCAUAGAUUUCACUCAAACUUCUAUAUCUCAAAGGAGUAUGAUCAAUCUGAGAUGCAGAAAUUGAGUCACUAGCACUUCCAGAUUCAAUGAGUGGAGAAUCUGUAAGUUGAGUCUGAGAACCUUCAGCAACAGCUUGUUCCAUGGAAUCCGAAUCCUUAUCAGCUUCUUUCAUCUCUGAAGAUUCACUUUCAGCAAUUGGAAUGUACACUUCUUUGAUCUUCUGUCUAUUCCAAUCCCAUGUACCAUUCUCAUAAAAAUAACAUCUCUUGAAAUGAUUACUUUCUGAUUUUCAGGAUUAAGCAAUCUGUACCCCUUUUCACAAGUGCCAUAUCCAAUAAAAAUACCAAUGACACUUGUUUCAUCCAGCUUCUGUCUCAGGUUUCUAGGAAUAAGGGAAUAACCUAAUGAGCCAAACACUCUCAAGUGUUGAAUUCCAGGUUUUCUUCCACUGAAUUUCUCAAAAGGUGUCACAUUUUCCAAUGCUUUUGUAGGACAUCUAUUUAGCAAGUAGACAGAUGUAACUACAGCUUCACCCCAAAGACUAUAAGGAAGACCUUUCUCAUGAAGCAUACACUUUGCCAUCUCCACUAUAGUUCUAUUUUUUCUCUCUGCAACUCCAUUCUAUUGUGGAGAGUGCAACAGUAAGCUGCCUCUCCAAACCCAAAGCUUCACAAAACUGUUCAAAUUCAUUUGAGGUAAAUUCUCCUCCUCUAUCUGUUCUCAAUUUCUUCACUGAAAAACCACUUUGAAGUUCCACUAUAGCUUUGAAUUUCUUGAAUACAUGAAAGACAUCUGACUUGUGUCUCAAGAGAUAUAUCCAGCACAUCCUCGAAUGGUCAUCAAUGAAUGUAACAAAGUAUCGAUUUCCACUCAUGGUUGGUGUUUGCAUAGGGCCACACACAUCUGAGUGUAUAAGUUCCAAUGGCAUUUUUGCUCUCCAGAUUGACUCCCUUAGAAAGGACACUCUAUAAUUCUUACCAAAUGCACAUCCCUGACAUACACCUUCACUGUCAUGCAUUUCAGGUAACCCAAUAACCAUAUCAUGCUCCUGCAAUUGUUGCAAACUUCUAAAAUUCAGGUGGCCAAACCGUUUAUGCCACAUUGUACUACUCUGAUGCACAUUGGUUUUCAGUACCAAAUGAUCGUUUGACUUGAACACAAGUGGAAAGCAUCUGUUUCCCUUUUGUUUCACACUAACCACUAAAUUUGUCAGAGUUCUAUCAUAAAAAAUAUCCACCUUAUAAUCACCAAAUAACAGAAAAUACCCAUGUUCAGUCAUCUGCCCAACACUGAGAAGGUUUUCUGCAAUUCCAGGUACCAACAUAACUUCUCUUAUGUACCUUUUUCCUUUAUCCGUGUCAAUGACCAAGGUUCCUUUGCCUUUCACAUCAACAAGAACCCCUGUGCCAACUUGCACUUUUGCCUUAAUACUUCUAUCAAUUUCCACAAGUAACUCAUCUCUGGAAGUCAUGUGAUUACUGCACACACUGUCAAUAUACCAGGCAUCACUCACAGCUUUCACUUCAGUUGAUUGCUUGACCAUGAAGAGAUUUCCAGGUUCUCCCACCUUGUUUGUAAAAUUCCUUUGCUCUCCCACUUUGUCUGCAAAAUUCCUUUGCUGAGCAUUUUUGUUUUGAUUGCAGAUCCUAGCAAUAUGACCAAGUUUUCCACACUUGUGACAUUUAAUCUUCCCUUUUAGCCAACAUUCACCAUAGUGAAGUUUAUCACAGUAUUUGCAUGCCCUUCCAGUGUUGUUAGCUUCAUUUCUUACACUUGGAGUAAACCUGUUAGUCCACUGCUUCCCUUUGAACUUGAAGUUCUUCUGAUAUUUUGAUCCACCAGUAUUGGUAUGUUGAUUACCAAAUUUACUAUUCUUAGAUGAGAUAUCUAAGCUAGCAAAUGCACGUUCUGUGCUACUCUCUUCAUGUCUGAUUAAUCUUAGUUCAAACCCUUUCAAUAUGGCAACCACAUCUUGUGUAUCAAUUACAUCAAUAUCUUUAGUAUUUUCUAUAACAGAAGCAAUGCUAUCAUAUGUUUUGGGUAAACUGAUCAAUAACUUUUGCACAAUUCUCUGAUUACUAAGAUCUUCUCCAUAGCUUCGCAUCUGAUUUAUCAGAUCAAACAGCCUAGCUAAAUAUGCAGCUAGAGAUUCACUUUCACUCAUACGGGUAUAUUCAAAAUCACGACGCAGACCUUGUAAUUUCACAGAUCGUACCUGUUUGUCCCCUACAUACUCUUGCUUCAGAAUAUCCCAAGCUUCUUUCGCAGUUUCCAAGGUUGCAAUGCGUGGAAAAAUUUGAUCUGAUACGGCUCCCUGAAUGAUUCCAAGAGCCCUUGCAUCCUUGACCAGAUUUUCACUCCGCAACUUCGUUUCCACCUCAGUGAGUUCUCAACAAUAUUCCAUAACUCGUGAGAUCGGAAGAUUGUUUUCAUUCGAAUCUGCCAGAAAUCGAAAUUUUCUCCGUUGAACACCGGAGCUCGAAGCUCCCCUCCACCAGAUCCAGCCAUGUUAGACUUAGAUCACACCUCUCUCUACUAUUUUCUUUGCAACGAUGUGUUGCAAACACUUGCUCACUAUCUCUCACAGAAUCGACGCCCAGAGAUUCAGACCCAACAAGGCUCUGAGGCCAUGUUAGAAUAAGAAGAAAAUGUAGUACAACAAUGGAGGAUAUGCUGCAAUGACUAGAGUGAAAGAGAGAGAGAAAGAAUGAGAGCAGAGAAUAUAUGACACUGCAAUUCUUUUCACACGCACUGUUUGAUUGCUCACAAAGUGAGAGAGGAACAUCUCUCUACACUUAACAGUUACACUUCCAAACUUUUGGCAGUAUUCAAAAUUACAUCCAAGUAAUCCUAGCCAUCCAUCUUACACCCUAUGAGAUGAAGACACAUGUACACUCACUUACUUAAGAACUAUGAGACUUAGAUAAGAAAGCAUACAACCAAUUUAGCUAAUCAUCCUAGCAAUAUAAGCUAGAAAUACAACUACCACAUCAGAUCACAAUUUACACACUAACACAUUUCGCCGCACCUUGUCAAAAAUUGGAUUUUCGACCAAAUCUUUCGCUGACGGCCUCCAGACUGGAUUUGGAUCCAACAUGAACUGAGAGAUUCAUCAAAAUGUAAUGCAAUCAGCAACGCUAUCACAGGGUUCAUUUAGUAGCACAAACCAACUAAGAAUCAUAGGAUGCUACGUGUAGAAUGGAACCGGUUUCUUAGAAAAUUAGUCAUCUACGAAUACCAUUUUCUUUAACAAAGAUUCUCGCAUUAAAAUUAAUUGCAACAAAUAGAAAUAGCAAAAGUGAAACAGUCACAAGUUCACAGCCACAGAAAACAAAGUCCAACCACUAAUGGAAAGGAAAAGGUGAUGUUACCUUGAGUAAGUUCUGAAAUUGCAACGAAUGACCAGGAAGGAGUGGCAACUUUCCCUCCCAGAGAUUUAAAAUUUGAGGUCCUGAUUCUGGCAAAGGUGAACCUCUAAUAAGCUCAUAAACAGCAACUCCCAAGGAGAAGAUAUCGGCCUUAUCAAGAUCAUCAUAUUUCUCAUUCAGGAUUUCUUGCGGCAUAUAUCGAGCAUCACCCUCUUCAAUUGGCAGGCUGUUGUCAAGUAGAGUUGCACAUCCAAAGUCACCAAGCUUAUAAACACCAUUCUUCACGUAUAUAUUAUCAGGUUUUACAUCUAAGUGAGCUAUUCCUCGCCCGUGUAUAAGCUGCAACGCUUUUGAAAUCUGUACAUAUAUAUUUUUACAUGAGAAAUUAGCAUAUACCAACAGAAGAUGAAACAUUGUCAAGCUAAAAAGCGUUCAAAUUAAUCAAAGACUACAGCCUGUCAGAUAGGAUCUCAGAUAUGUGUCAAUGCCAGUGAGUGUGCAUGCAUGACAAUGUGCAGCUGCUCAUUUUCAAACCAAGACGAAUAGUAUCCAACAAUGUUUUCAUGGGAUUCUUCAAGCACGGAGGAGGCAUGACACGACAGCGUAAAGCCACUGCAGAUUGAGAUACAUAAUUUUGCUUCUUCCGUGGUUCCGUUGCCGUUGGUUUCUCCAUCACAACCUCAUUGAUGCCAAAAACAUCUUUCUCAAGCUCAACUACCGGCUCAUUUCCGAACAGCGUAGGGCUGAGAGGAUUCAAUGAGAUGUCAUCUGCAUCAAGUAUGAAUUUUUACUAGCAAUUCCAAUUACCAAGUAGUUUUUCAUCAGAAUUUACUUGUAGUAACAAAGUAAAACUUUUAGCCUUCCUCUGAUAAAGUGAUUCGAACCCUUGAAAUUUGAUCAAACCGCUAAAAACAGAGGCUUCUUUUAAAAGUUAUAAUAAUUUUAACCGUUGGAUCAAAUUUCAAAAGCCUAAAUCACUUGAUCCGUGUGAUUUGGUGGAAGAGAUUCGAAAAUGAUACAUUUUCGGCUUGUUUCAAAAUUAGUGCAUACUCUACGAGGACGAUGGUAGUGGGCCGAGAUAAAAAAAUAGAUAGGACACGUGUCGCUUACACACGCAUCGAGGACCAAAUUUGGCGUCAAAACCCACUGUCGACGAACCUCUUCCUUUGAACCCACAAUUUCCUCUGUUUCUGAAGAUUUAUAAGCUCCACCACCGUGCUAUGCGUUGUUUUCAGACAAUUCCAGAGUUUGAUCAGAGCAUUUCUGGUAAACUCUCUCGAUUCGAUUCUCGCAUUUUAUCUGUGUUUUUCUGAAUUGGGAUUCUUGGAUUGAAGUGUUCUUUGGUUGUUCAUUUGGGCAGAUGAGGAAGAAUCGGAAAAAAAAUGAUUUUCCCAAUUGCACUGCCAUUGACGGUUCCACCAAGAAAAAGGUUUUUAUUUAUUUUUUAAUGUUUAUAUUUAUUUUGCUUUAAACUUCAAUGUGCUUGAUUUAAUUUGUAUGUAUAUGCAUUGUUUAUGUAGUCGUAAUUGGCAAAGGAUCGGUACAAUGUGUUUGGAUACCAAGAAAAUAUGAGAUGGUACAGAGAAAAUUAUGUGAAUUGCUUUUCUAGUUGUAUUGACCCUGCAAUGUGAGUUAGACCAAUUCGCCAAGGUAGUGUGCCAGCUUCUUUACACUGAAUUCGAAUCCAAUCCCCUCUUUGCAAAUCAUAAUUGUUUAGAAUAGAAUAUUGUCCUAUACAAAAGAAAAAUGAUUAUAGUUACUUUUGUUUUGCUUUUAUAGUAAACUUGUCUUGUUGACACAACGGAAGUUGUAAGAAAAGGGAUCACGAAUGGUCUCCCUUGAAAAAACUCUGGAAUUCCAGAAUUUGUGAGAGAAACUCUCGUUUCUGAAUUUUGUAUUGAUUCAAAAGCUAUUGUCUAUUACAAAGCAAAAGAACAUAUUAUAAACACUUGUUUCAAGAAAAUGAAAAGACAAGCAACAAUAAAUCCUCAUUGAUUAGGAAAUACCCUCUAAACGACUCGGAACGUUUCUAAACUGUUCGCAUCAUCAAGCAGUUUCUUUAUUCCUACGUUAGUCUUCUCUCCUUGAAAAGAACUCGUCCCCGAGUGAUCAAGAUAUAACGGAACAUCAACAAGAUGGAAAUGAUGCAAAUCAGUAACAUUGAAAGAGCGAGAAAUCCCCAUUGAUGUCGGCAAAUCCACCACAUAGGCGUUGUCAUUGAUUUUGUGCACAAUCUUUGAGCAUCGAUGUUUAUCAGCAGCAGCCUUGUUUUUGGAAUUCAUUUGAGCAAGUUUCUCGGCAACUUCGUUCUUGGCUGCUUGAACUCUUUCAGCCAUAUGUUCAGCUACAACAUUUAUUCAUGGGCCAUGAGGAAGCCUUAUAAAAUCCACCACAUGAUGGGGAUUUAAAGUAUAGACAAUCGAAAAUGAUGACUUGUCGGUUGCGGUAUGCACACCACUAUUGUAAGCAAAUUCGACUUGAGCAAGCACCAAAUCACAUUGCUUGGGUUUAUCUCCACAUACACAACGAAUCAUAUUACCCAACGUCUUAUUGGUCACUUCAGUUUGUCCAUCUGUUUGAGGGUGGGCAGUGUUACUCCGAUUCAAUGUUGUUUCAAAUAUCUUCCACAAAGUCAUCCAAAAGUAACUAAGAAACUUAGAAUCCUGAUAAGAAGUAAUGGACUGAGGAACCACAUGAAGGCGCACCACCUCUCGAAAGAACAAGUGAGCAAUGUGAGAUGCAUCAGAUGUCUUACCGGUCAACCACCACAAAUACAAAAUCGACUCCACGCUGGGUUCGAGGUAGACCCAACACGAAAUCUAUAGAUAAAUCCAGCCAAAUAUCAGUAGGGACAGGUAAGGGCAUGUACAAACCCGUGUUUUGGGACUGACCUUUAAAGGAUUGACAAACAAAGCACUUGCUAACUAUGUUACCAACAUCAUUUUUGAGUUGUGGCCAGUAAUAUGGUUUUAUCACACCCAAGAUGACCGCUUAAACCACCAUCAUAUAGGUCUUUAAUGAGCUUCUCCCUUCAUGAACAACGUGGAAUGCACAAGUUAUGCCCCUUGAAAAGAAACACAUCGGUAAUGUGAAAGUCAGAAGGAGGAUGGGAGCGGAGACACUUUGCCCAAAUGUCUUUAAAGUCGUCAUCCCCCUCAUAAAGCUCAUUCAAGAAAUCAAAACCCACAACCUCCUGACUCAAAGUCACCAAUAAUUGGGCUCUCCUGCUCAAUGAUCGGCUACGCGAUUAAGCGUACUGGAUUGGUGCUUGAUGACAAAAGAAAUUUUUUGGAGAUAAGUCACCCAUCGCAUAUACAUCAUGUCUAACACUUUUCUGAUUAUUGACCCACUUCAGUGCCAUGGUCGGUGUAUAGGACAAAUUCAUUUUGAACGAGUUAAUGCUCCGAUUAGAGUAAAGCACGAAUGACAGCAUAAAACUCUUGAGCAUAUGUACUCCAUUUUUGCCUCACUUCGCUAAGCCUCUCACUGAAAAAUGUAAUGGGAUGUUUUUCUUGAGAUAAAACAACUUCAAUACCUACUCCGUUUGCAUCGUAUUCAACUUCAAAAACCUUAUCAAAGUUGGGUAAGUUGAGGACGGGAGUAGAGCAUAGCUUUUCUUUAAUUAAAGCAAAGCUCAUGUCCUGUUUAUCACCCCAAAUAAAGUUACCAUUCUUCAAACAUUCUGUCAUUGGCGCCACAAUGGUGCUAAAGUUCCUUACAAACCAUCGAUAAAACGUUGCAAGGCCAUGUAAGCUUCGCAAUUCAGAUACAUUUUUGGGAGCUAGCCAAUCUCAAAUGGCUCUCACCUUCUUUUAGUUUACAUGGAUGCCAUCCGAACUUAUGACAUACCCAAGGGUAGUCGAUCGGUGAAGAAACUGCACUUCUUGAAGUUAAUUUACAAUUUGUUUUCCUGAAAUAUUUGAAGUACUUGUCUCAAAUGCUCUAAAUGGUCGUGCUCAGAUUUGCUAUAAAUUAGUAUAUCAUCAAAGUAUACAACAACAAAUAAUCCGACAAAUGGACGAAACACCUGGUUCAUUAGUCGCAUAAAUGUGUUAUGAGCAUUGAACAGACCGAACAACAUCACCAACCAUUCAUAUAAGCCAUCUUUACUCUUGAAUGUUGUCUUCCAUUCGUCUUCUGGACGGAUUCGAAUUUGAUGAUACCUACUUCGUAAAUCGAUCUUAGAAAAUAUUAUGGAAUAAACUAAUUCGUCCAACAUGUCGUCUAAACGGGAAAUGGGAAAACGAUAUUUGAUAGUGAUCUUGUUGAGCUCGGCUAUGAACACACAUUCUCCAUGUCUUGUCUUUCUUGGGCACAAGAAGAACCGGCACUAUACAAGGGUUAAACUAAUGAAGCCCAUUUUUAACAACUCAUCAAUUUUCUCCCGUAGAAUCUCAAUCUCUUUCGGACACAUCCUAUAGUGUGGCAGAUUUGGCAAGCUUGCCCUAGGAAUGAAGUCGAUUUGAUGUUGUAUAUUCUGCAUGAGAGGUAACUCAUUCGAAUAUCGUCACUCACCAAAUCCUCAAAGUCUUGUCGGAUUGCUUGAACCUUGUUCGGAAUCUGCAACUUUCGGUCUUGUGUCAUUAAGAGGCUUUUCAUGACCAAAGCACAAAUUACCUUGGUCUUUUUUGCUUCGGAUGUAACAUCGCGCUCAGAUGUGAUCAAGGUGAUGAACUUAUUCGGGUUAUCAACUUUUAUGACAACAUUAGUUGAUUUUCCAUUAGGGAACAUGGUGAUGCAAUGUUAUUCCCAAGUGAACUUAUAGACAUUGCCACGACCCUUGUGCAUGACAUCUCUAUCCUAUAGCCAUGGACUACCGAGCAAUACAUGAGUCACGUCCAUGUCAACUACAUCACACACAACUUCCUCCUUGUAAAACUUCCUAAUUGAGAUGGGAACCUUACAAGUUUCAAUCACCUUUUCCGUCGGGCCCUUCUUAAUCCACCCUGCCGAGUAUGGGUGUGAAUUUUUCUCAGUUUGAAGGUGAAAGUGCUCCACGACUUUUCUAGCAACGAAGUUUUCACAACUACCUCCGUCUAUUACCAACUGACAAACUUUGUCCCGAAUAGUGCACUUAGAGCGAAAGAUUUGAUGACGUUGAUUGUCAUCGCUGGGUUUGGAAUAAAUCACUCGCUGUAAAACUAAUGCUAACUCAUCUCCUUCUUCCUCAGCCACAUCAUCAUCAUAUUCAUCAUCUACUUCUUCAUAUUCACCUCCUUUUACUAAAUUCACUAUCUUGCCAACCCAGCAGGUGCUUGUGGGAUGCCCAUGGCUGCCACAUUUGUAACACAUGUUUCUACGAGGCUUGGUAUACGGAUUAGCUUGCUUGCGGAAUUAGUUGUUUUGAAAACGAGUAGUGUUACGAGGACUAUUUUUCACUCCUAGAUGAUCAACUUUAUUUUCAACCCUUUUUUCUGGACCCUUGGAAACCUGUUGCUGCUGCACCAUUUCUUUAUUUCUUGGGAAAUUGCUGAAAGAUUGAGAUGACUUUCCCCAUUGCUUUCUAAAACCAUCUGGUUGCUGCGAUUUUUCUCCAGCAAUUAUGCGCUAAUAGCCAACUCUUCUGUUUGAAGGGGAGUUAACACGUUGUAACCCAAUUUUGUCAUGAAUGGAAGGUUUUAAUCCAAACAAAUAUCGUACAGUUUGUCAUGCAAAGGACUCAGUGGGACGAUUUCUUGCAGCAAGGUUGAAAAACUCUUGUGAAUACUCAUGCACAGUUCGACUUCCUUGUACACAGUCGUGGUAUUUUUCAAACAACACUUGCUUGUAAUUCCGAGGAAGGAAACGUGCCCGAAGCAUGCUUUGCAUUUUACGUCAAGUUUGGACACGAUUCUUUCCUUGCCACACCCUGGACUCUUGAGGCUCAUCCAACCAAACGGCAACGCUUCCCUUUAGCCUCCAUGCCAUAACUUUAACUUCUCGCAUAUUCGAAGAAGUUCUCUUACUCCGCAAGCCAAUCUAAAAACUCUUCAAUCGAUAAGUUUCCAUUGAAAGUGGAAAUUUCAAUUUUUUUUUUCUUCUCAUGGAUUUUCAGGGAUGGCAGAGAUAACGUCAUCUUCAGAAUCUGAAUCACCGUUAGGGAAAUCUCUGACUUGCUAGGGUGCUACAACCAGUUCGCGAGCACGAACAACAUGUUGAGCGCCGCCUACGGCCAGGCCUGCAAUCAUCUCUCUAAUUUCAGCGAGGGAAUUUUGCAUUGUAUGAUUGAUGCGACACUCCAUAGCCACAAGCUCUCAACUCACGUAUGUGAAACUUAUGAUAUUGGUUCUUGCUUCGUCUUCAGCCAUUGAAUUGGAAAACCGGGCUCGAUGCCAACUGAUAUAGCAGAAGUUGUAAGAAAAUGGAUCACAAACGGUCUCCCUUGAAAGAACUCUGGAAUUCCAGAAGUUGUCUAUUACAAAGCAAACAAACAGAUUAUAAAUUCUUGUUUCAAGAAAAUGAAAAGACAAGCAACAACAAAUCCUCAUUGAUUACGAAAGACCCUAUAAACGACUCAGAACGUUUCUAAAUUGUUCGCAUCAUCAAGCAGUUUCUUUAUUCCUACGUCAGUUACAGGAAGAGAGGGUGUAUUAAUCAUAAUUCUAUUCCUAAACAUGAGGAAUUACCUAUUUUGUCACGUCUAGAAGUGCUGAAAGGUGCGUGUUUUUUCGAAAAUGGCUACUAGGCUUGAACUGGCAUAGGCUCUAUUUAGCAACACAGUGAUGUUUGUUUAAUUCUUUCAGAUGCAGGUUCUAAUGCGUAUGCCUGCAGCUUGGCGGAUGAAGUGAGCUCUAACGAAGAGGUAGUAUGCAUUCAGAUAUAUAGAUAUCUUAUUUUUGGUGUUUUUGUGCUAAUGCAAGGAGUAAUGUGCUUGUUUAGCGGAAUGGAUCUCCUAGGUUCUUGAAUUUUCAGUGGUGGGCAGCAAGCGACGUGGAGAUGAGGCCAUGAACCGCGACAGAGUGAUGGAGAUAGGGGUUUGUUGUUUGGGUCACGGUGGUGUGAAAGAAAUGAGCAAUCUGAAAGGCAAAGAGAAAGAAAGGGGAAAGUGAAGUGGAAUGGUUUAGAAUUUCACUUGUUUGAUAUUUCAUUCUAGCGCUAUAAUUUCCCACUAUGCAUUUUUUGUAAAAUAUCUAAAAAGUUUAUGUGCGUAAAUGUUGUUUGUCCUGUGUUUCGAGAAUACGUGAUGAAUCUACUCGCCACUAGCUUGUUUUUAAGUUAGAUAUCUAUCAGAGUAGAUAUGUGUGACGCAAAUGAAUAAUUCCUCACGGAUUCUUAUAGUAUGUGACAAAUUUUUAGGCGUCACAAUCAAUUUCGUCACCUAAUCUAUAUUUUCUUGUAGUGAAGGUAUGGACCCAAAUAUAUAGAAAAUUCACUUUACGACAUAACGCGAUGCCUCAAAAGAGAAGGAAAGUGUGUCGUGUAAAUUGUCAAAUACGACACACGACGCUUAAGCCGUAAAUAUUUUUAUUUAACGACUUGCACAAAAGUGAUGCCGUGAAUGCUAGAUUAUGUGCAAGUAUUAUAACAUGAACUUUACGAAUGUCGUGAAUAAUAUCAUUUAAGGCAUGCCAGUACUGUACGCUGCAUAUUUCAAGUCGUAAAAAACCCAAACUGUUGUAGUGAAUCAAUUAUCAUUCUCCAAAUCAAUUUCAAAGAAUAGAAAUAAUCAAAGUGGUUCCUCCUCCAUCUAUUAAAUCCUCCAUUGCUAAGUCCAUAUUUUCCCAAUUCAUGAGCCACCACGUUAUAUUUUCUUUUUAAAUCCUCCAUUACUAAGUCCAUCCAUGUCUUUAGGUGUAUAUAAAUAAUAUAAAGUAUAAAUAUACAUGUUCUCAAUCAAUAAUAUAACACAUGAAUUAAUAAUAUUAUUUGAACUAUCACCGGGAUUCUAAUACAAUCAGUAAUAUAUUGCACUAGAAAAAGAACAUGUAAGAGGGUAGACCAUAAAAAAAAGGAAGAAAAACUUUUAGACAAAAUUCAUAGAAUGAACAACCAAUUGCUACUUUACAAACCAACGUGUCAUAAUACAUUAGCAAUGGAGCAUUGCAUAUAAGCGUAUGUAUAUAUUACAAUUGUAGUCUACCUCGUGGCCGGAAGAGCUCUCGGUCACCUGAUAACAUUUUUAAUUUGUAAGAACUCAAACCUAAUUCCAGAAUUCUUGAUUUAUUUAUUUAUUUGAUGUAGCUAGCUAGCUAGCUAGUAAUUAAUCACCUUAAAUAGCUUGUCUCAAGCAUGUACUAAAAUUUGUAUCCACUUUCUUUUGCUCUAAAGUUCAUAAGUCAUGCCCACUUUCAACAGCCGCUUGUGAGGAAUAUCAAACACUUUGUCACUCUGCCUCAAAUUCCUCUUCAAGAAAUUGUAAGCGUAAUCGAUCACAAUUCUUUUCGCUAUGCCAUGCCAGCUCCUUUGGCAGCCGUCACUUCAUUUUCCCCAAUCAAAUGAACAACUCCCCGCCUCCAUGCUUUGUCUAUUGCCUCAAUCUCUCUGUCCAACAAAUCUUGUUGCUUAUCAUGAUCAUCAACUUGCUGCUUCAAAUCCUCCUUUCCUUUCUCUCCACCGUUAGCCAAAGUACUGUCUUCGAAUUCUUCCUCGAUCUCCAACUUGGUAUCCCCAUAAACGCUACUGUGCAUAAUAUUUGUUUGAGAUAUCCAAAAAUUAUCCUUUAUGAACUCUUUCAACUUCUCCACCAACAAUCCUUCGAAGGGUUCGUUCUCAUUGCGAACAUCGGUGUACCCAUAUCUAGCAACGCAUCGGAACACAUUCAGAUCCUUAGCCUCUACUUGCCGAAAAAGAAAGCGCUCUUCCAAUGGAACCUUGCUUAUAGGCAACGAUUUGAUUGAGACAAAAACAAGGACGGAGUGCAAUGCAGGCACAUUAGCAGCGUAAUGAUUGAAGAUUGGCGGAAUGCCUUGAACAAGUUCCGAAUAGAACAUGGCGAGGCCAGGCAUACGAGAAAAGUUUGCAUCAACAGCAAUUUCCUUGAGUUGUUCGGGAGAAAUUUUGUGUUCAAGCUCGUAAUAGUACUUUCUUCGAUGCACAUCAUUCCACACAAACAUUAUAAACAUCAACAAUGUAGCAAACGCGAGGGGAAGAUAUCCGCCCUGGUCAAGUUUGUAGAGCACUGAACUUAGAUACAGAAGCUCUACACUUCCAAUAACAAGAACAUAUGAGAUGACGAGGAAUAUGUUGGUCUUCCAUAUCAUGAUCAUGAUUAGCACUAGGAAGGAUGAUGUAAGCGUCGUUACAAACACCACUGCUACACCUGUACAUAUAUAUACGUAUGACAAUUAGACAAAGUCAUUCAUUUUUAGUUUAAUGUGCACAUAAAUAUUUUCCUGUCAGACUGAAUGUGGAUCAUACAUUAAUUCGACUAUUUUUUAAUGUAAGACGGUGACUCAGAUUUUGGCAACAUAAGCAUUUGUUUGAUGACAUAAUUAAGUUUGUAAAGAGAACAUUACCAUAUGCAUUUCCGAUCUUUGCAGUGCUUCGAAACCCUAAAGUGACUCCAACACAAGCUAACAUGAGAAGGUAGUUCACUUCCGGAAUAUAAACUUGUCCGGCAUACUUGGUUGAUGUGUGCACGAUUUUCACACGAGGGAAACACCCUAAUGAUAGUGAUUG
rnacentral:lncRNA from 1 species